UUGUUUCCUUGCUUAAUUGAACUGGUGCUACAGAACUGCCCGAAGUUGAAAGAGUUGCCCUCUAUGUCUUCUAAGCUCGAGAGAUUGGUGAUAUAUAAAACUGGGUGGACGACUAUGAAUUUUGGUAGCAAUGCAAAUCCUAUUCCCCUUGAAAGAUUAGAGGUCUAUAACUGUCAAAACAUCGCAUCUCUUUAUCUAGCUGUUGAAACAGCAAGGCUUGCAGCACUAAGAUACUUGAAAAUUAAAAAUUGCCCGAAUCUGUUUUCUUUGGGAAGAUAUCGAAAAGUGGAGACUACUAAUAAUUGCCAUCUCAUGCUCAGCGAUGUCUUUAUAAGUGAUCCAUCAGUGUUGCUAAUGGAGCCAUUGAGAAGUAUCGCCUCCUUAAAAAAGCUGAAUAUUUGGUCAAAUGAUGAGUUGGUUUUCUUUUACAAAUGAGUCGGAGCAGUGAUUUCUGAAAGCUAGGUCUUCUCUUUCUGAGCUGAAUUUUUUAUUUCUCAAUUCCUUACAAUCUCUACCUUCCUUCUUGGAAAGCUUAUCUUCACUUCAGAUUAUAUAUAUUUAUGUUGUUCCCAUGCUUCGGGAAUUACCCAACCUUCCUCCCUCUUCGGGAAACUACGAUGCUGCUCCUGGUUUGCGCUAUAUAGAAGAUGAAGAAAAGUGCUAACCGCAGCUGAAACUUUAUUUAUUUGCAACCAAGAUUGAUUGAUUCCGCACCUAACAAUUUCUCUGAAAAAAAGAUGGGUUAACUUGCAGAAACCACUGCUCUAACUCAUUUGAAAAUGAAACUAACAUUAAUUUGCAGCGUUUGGAGUUGGGAAGAUUUCAAGCACAUUGUAGAUCUCAACUUUUGGAUGAGAAGGUGCUUGAGAAUUUUAUACCACAUGAAAAUCUAAAGAAACUGAGGAGAAAUGCUUACAUGGGUGCCAGGUCUUCAAUAUUCGCCUUGUUGUAGCCCUUUUUGAGAUCCUGUACUAUAUCAAGCAUUUCUUGAGAGCAUGGAUUAUCUGCGUUCUUACCUUCUUAGCCUUUCUUCUUUCUACCAACUUCACAUUCAUAUGGGUUUCAUUUACUCAAGUUUUGGAUUGAGGCUGCUAGAUUUUUUUUCUUCCUAUGAGACUUAUUAUUACUCAAAUGUUUGAUCAAAUAAGUCUGUCCUUUGGGUGGGAAAGAAUGAAAGGAAAAUUUCUCGUCCCUUUAUGCUGUUUUUAUAUAUUUAGGAAUUAAUGGAAUGGCAGGAAAUAUGGCCAUCACAUCUCCUCUACUUCGUCCAUUUUAAACAGGAAGCGUUCUCUAUGUUCAUCUGAAAUGUUCCUUUUUUCAGAUCGGUGGCUGCCUCCUUAUUGAGAAAUUUGUUUUGUUUGUUUGUUUUUUAUUUUUCUCGAGAGGGCUAUGAUUAGUUAUAUGGCCCUAGGGGUUCUCCUGGAUUGGCCUCUGGAUGGCCUCUCUUCUGUUGUGUUUUUUUACAUACAUGAAUUAUAGGCCUUGAGGGGCUGUUUUGCAACAAGCUUGAUUUAAUUACGGCUUCGGUUCCGGUGGCUUUCUUAAUGUUUUCUAAAGAAGUUUAGGGUUUAGGAAUCUUUGUGUAUUGUUUCUACAAUUUCUUGAGAACCUGGAUUGCAUGGCUUCUUGCCUUCCUAGCCUCUUCUCUCCAAAAACUUUACAUUUAUAGGAUUCCUCAGCUCAAGGAAUUACCAGACCUCCCUCCCUACUUGAAAUCUCUGUCAAUACUCUACUGCCAUUCCGACUUGAAGGAGCGCUACCGAAGGUUCUGAUUGGCACAAGAUAGCUCACAUUCCUUAUGCAAUCUUCCUACCGAGUAGGACCACUUGCUUUAAUGAAAUUUUCUAAUCUAAUGCCGGUUUACGAAGUGUGGGAAUUGAAAAAAAAAAUACACCAGAAGUGAACGUUACAUUUGUUUUAUUUGCUUGAUAAAAAUGUGAAGUUUCAGCCAGAGCUGUGGUUGGUAGAGGAAACAAAACAUGGUGAUGAUCCAAGCAUCAACAUCGUGCUGAAGAUUAAUGACCAACAUGCAAUACUUAGGCAGGAAAGAGAUGAUGGGAAAUAAUGAAUACAGAUCGAGGUGCCUUCAAUGCCGUUAAAAGUUAAAAUAUUGAUGAUUCCCCUCCAACGGUGUCGAUUAUGGAGCAUAAAGAACAACUGAACAGAAACAUGGAGAAAAGAUCUGCAGGCUUUGUCCAGCGGGCUUUCACUGGUCAACAAUGCCAGAUUUAAUGGUUACACUUGAAAACACCAUGGUGCUACUGAAAUACUAAACAAGUGGAAAUCAAUAUUACUUAGUUGUUCGCAUGGAAUUGGCUAACAUUUGCAACUAUCAACAGCUUGCCGAUCAAGAAGAUGGGAAUUAUUGAGUUAUAGAGUUUAAUUAAUGUCCUAUGAAGAAACAUAGAGCGGAGAUUAUUACGUGCGGAGCCCGGACGGAAGAACCGCCCAGAUCCUGAGAGUGAGUAUGCGAUACAAUUACUGUGCACAUCAUGGUUUUAUUGGCACUCAUAGAAUCCAGAUGCAACUCCGGUCCGGACUCCGUAUAUCAUAAUCCCUCUAUGUGGAUUGAAACUCAUGGAAGGUAUAUAAUAUUCAUUAUUUGUUUCAUUGUAGAGAUUUUGGAGAGUUCACCUGUAAUUUCAGUUACUCAAAAUUUUCAUUAUAAAAGGGGUUUUGUUAUUACA